AGAUAAUAGAUACCCCGGUAGUCCACGCCGUAAACGAUGAAUGCUAGCUGUUAGAAGUAUCGACCCUUCUAGUAGCGAAAGCUAACGCGUUAAGCAUUCCGCCUGUGGAGUACGGUCGCAAGACUAAAACAUAAAGGAAUUGACGGGGACCCGCACAAGCGGUGGAGCGUGUUCUUUAAUUCGAAGGUAAGCGAAGAACCUUACCAAGGUUUGACAUCCCGGUAGCCGUUUUCCGAAAGGAGAACUUCAUUUAGUUGGACCGGUGACAGGUGUUGCAUGGCCGUCGUCAGCUCGUGUCGUGAGAUGUUUGGUUAAGUCCAUCAACGAGCGCAACCCUUAUAGUUAGUUGGAUUUCUCUAGCUAGACUGCCCCGGUAACGGGGAGGAAGGAGGGGAUGAUGUCAGGUCAGUAUUACCCUUACACCUUGGGCUAGAAACACGCUACAAUGGCCAGUACAAAGGGCAGCCAAGUCGUGAGACGGAGCAAAUCCCAUCAAAGCUGGUCCCAGUUCGGAUAGGAGGCUGAAACUCGCCUCCUUGAAGUCGGAAUCGCUAGUAACGGUGAGUC
rnacentral:rRNA from 1 species